CAGACACAAGGACAGCCCCCUCACCAACAGGGCACAUGCUGAGAGCUGCUGACAGUCCCUCAGUCAACAGAAUGUAGGUGUGAGGAGGUGCUGAUGGGGAUGAAACUGAGGCCCAGAGAGAAGAUACGGGAGCCCCAGAGCAGUUGAGGGCCACAGUUCAGAAGGCAGCUGCAAUAUCUCUCCUGGAGCCAGGUCUUAUCCAAAGAAACUUUCCUACAAGGCAAUGGCUUCAAUUCUGUGCUUUUCCUUUCAAGAGAGAACUGAGUUCAUUGAACUUA